UGCCAGCAGCCGCGGUAAUACGUAGGGUGCAAGCGUUAUCCGGAAUUAUUGGGCGUAAAGGGCUCGUAGGCGGUUCGUCGCGUCCGGUGUGAAAGUCCAUCGCUUAACGGUGGAUCUGCGCCGGGUACGGGCGGGCUGGAGUGCGGUAGGGGAGACUGGAAUUCCCGGUGUAACGGUGGAAUGUGUAGAUAUCGGGAAGAACACCAAUGGCGAAGGCAGGUCUCUGGGCCGUUACUGACGCUGAGGAGCGAAAGCGUGGGGAGCGAACAGGAUUAGAUACCCUGGUAGUCCACGCCGUAAACGGUGGAUGCUGGAUGUGGGGCCCGUUCCACGGGUUCCGUGUCGGAGCUAACGCGUUAAGCAUCCCGCCUGGGGAGUACGGCCGCAAGGCUAAAACUCAAAGAAAUUGACGGGGGCCCGCACAAGCGGCGGAGCAUGCGGAUUAAUUCGAUGCAACGCGAAGAACCUUACCUGGGCUUGACAUGUUCCCGACAGCCGUAGAGAUAUGGCCUCCCUUCGGGGCGGGUUCACAGGUGGUGCAUGGUCGUCGUCAGCUCGUGUCGUGAGAUGUUGGGUUAAGUCCCGCAACGAGCGCAACCCUCGCCCUGUGUUGCCAGCACGUCAUGGUGGGAACUCACGGGGGACCGCCGGGGUCAACUCGGAGGAAGGUGGGGAUGACGUCAGAUCAUCAUGCCCCUUACGUCCAGGGCUUCACGCAUGCUACAAUGGCCGGUACAACGGGAUGCGACACGGCGACGUGGAGCGGAUCCCUGAAAACCGGUCUCAGUUCGGAUUGGAGUCUGCAACCCGACUCCAUGAAGGCGGAGUCGCUAGUAAUCGCGGAUCAGCAACGCCGCGGUGAAUGCGUUCCCGGGCCUUGUACACACCGCCCGUCAAGUCAUGAAAGUGGGUAGCACCCGAAGCCGGUGGCCUAACCCUUUGUGGAUGGAGCCGUCUAAGGUGAGACUCGUGAUUGGGACUAAGUCGUAACAAGGUAGCCGUACCGGAAGGUGCGGCUG
rnacentral:rRNA from 1 species